rnacentral:rRNA from 1 species
GAUGAACGCUGGCGGCGUGCUUAACACAUGCAAGUCGAACGGAAAGGCCCUGCUUUUGCGGGUUGCUCGUUUGGCGCACGGGUGAGUAACACGCGAGUAACCUCUCCUUGUAUUUGGGAUAACUUCAGGAAACUGGGGCUAUUAUCGCAUAGGAUCUCCUGCUGCACAGGGUUGAUUGGUAAGAUUCGGCGGUUGGGGAUGGACUCGCGGGUUAUCGGCUUGAUGGUGAGGUAGUGACUUACCACGGGUAUGACGGGUAGCCGGCCUUGGAGGGGGGCCAGGGACAUUGGGACUGCGAUAGGGCCCAGUCUCCUAUGGGCGGCAGCAGUCGGGAGUAUUGCGCAAUGGGCGGGCGCCUGAUGCAGCAGCGCUGCGUGCGGAAUGCCCUCCUUCUGGUUGUAAACAGAUUUCGCCUGAAACGUAGCGUGAGUGACGGUAAUGGGUAAAAAAGCCCCGGCUAACUACGUG